UUACUUCCAUUACUUCAUAAAUUGUUGGUGCCAGAUAAUAACUUUUGGUCAGGAAUAUAUGCAUCAUCUUGUUUUCUUUUCUUUGAUAUGUGAGAAACCUUCAUUACUCUAUGAAACCAUUGUAAUUUAUGGAUGGAUUUAAAUAAAUUUUUGCACUGACAAUUUUAUGCCUGUUUAGAGCAAUGGGGGAUGUUUCAGAUCGUAUUGGUCGUCCUACAGACAACAGUCAGAUUGGCAUAAUUGAUCCAGAUUGCAGACUAAUUGGACUCCAUUUAUACGAUGGAUUGUUCAAGGUCAUUCCUUUUGAUAAUAAAGGGCAGCC